UUCCGGCCUGAUCCACCCACCUGCCUUCUCAGGCCUGUGCCCCACCCCCAGUGACCCCCAUCUGACCCCAGGUGAGCGCGUUGCAGAGAACAAGAAAGGGGGUGUCGAGCCCAGCCAGUGGUUUGUUGGUGUGAUGCCACCCCUCUUGACACUACCCUUCAGGCGUCUCAUCUGGUCCUUGGCCUCCAGUCAGCUGGCUCCCAGAAGACACAGAGGACAUAGCCUCCUGCAUACAGCUCCAGAGGCCUGCACAGAUGGGAAUGCCCCAGUGUUCAUCCGCGCCCUGGCCUUUGGGGACAGGAUUGCCCUUAUUGACAAACAUGGCCGUCACACCUACAGGGAGCUUUAUGACCGCAGCCUUUGCCUGGCCCAGGAGAUCUGCAGGCUUCGGGGUUGUAAGGUUGGGGACCUCCCGGAGGAGAGGAUUUCCUUCCUGUGCUCCAAUGAUGUCUCCUAUGUUGUAGCUCAGUGGGCCUCCUGGAUGAGUGGUGGUGUUGCCGUCCCACUCUACUGGAAGCACCCUGAGGCCCAGCUGGAGUAUUUCAUCCAGGACUCCCGGAGCUCUGUGCUCGUGGUUGGCCAGGAGUACCUGGAGCGGCUAAGGCCAGUGGCCCAGAGGCUGGGAGUCCCUCUUCUGCCCCUCACGCCUGCCAUCUACCAUGGAGCAGCAGAGCAGCCCAUAGAGCAGCUGGUCCAAGAGAGGGAUUGGCAUGACCGGGGUGCUAUGAUCUUCUACACCAGUGGGACCACAGGGAAGCCCAAGGGUGCACUGAGCACCCACCGUAACAUAGCAGCCGUGGUGACUGGGCUGGUCCAUUCAUGGGCAUGGACAAAACAUGACGCGAUCCUUCAUGUCCUCCCUCUGCACCAUGUCCACGGCGUGGUCAACAAGCUGCUCUGUCCGCUCUGGGUAGGGGCCACUUGUGUGAUGCUGCCGGAGUUCAGUGCUCAGCAGGUUUGGGAAAAGUUCUUGAGUUCAGAAGCUCCACGGAUUAAUGUGUUUAUGGCAGUGCCCACGAUCUACAGCAAACUGCUGGAUUACUAUGACAAGCAUUUCACACAGCCCCGUGUCCAGGAUUUCGUGCGUGCAGUUUGUGAAGAAAAAAUCAGGCUGAUGGUGUCAGGCUCGGCUGCCCUGCCUGUCCCCCUGCUGGAGAAGUGGAAGAAUGCCACGGGCCACACGCUACUGGAGCGCUAUGGUAUGACGGAGAUUGGCAUGGCCCUGUCCAACCCCCUGACGGAGGCUCGCCUGCCAGGUUCUGUGGGAACCCCACUGCCAGGAGUGGAAGUACGCAUCGUCUCAGAAAACCCGCAGAAGGGUUCUCCCUACUUCAUCCAUGCAGAGGGAAAUGAGAAGGAGACAAAGGUGACCCCGGGGUUCGAGGAAAAGGAAGGAGAGCUGCUAGUUAGGGGACCCUCUGUGUUUCGAGAAUACUGGGAUAAGCCAGAAGAAACUAAAAAUGCUUUCACUUCGGAUGGCUGGUUCAGAACAGGAGACACUGCUGUGUUCAAGGAUGAUAGGUACUGGAUCCGAGGGCGUACAUCAGUGGACAUCAUCAAGACUGGAGGCUAUAAAGUCAGCGCCCUGGAGAUUGAGCGGCACCUGCUGGCCCACCCCAGCAUCACAGAUGUGGCUGUGAUUGGAGUUCCGGAUAUGACAUGGGGCCAGCGGGUCACAGCUGUAGUGGCCCUUCAAGAAGGACACUCACUGUCGCACAGGGAUCUCAAGGAAUGGGCCAGGUUUACUCUCUUUGACCACCUGCCCCACCAGUCCUGACUCGAGGCUCACGGCCACUCAGGAAGUCUGCAGAAGCAAUUCCAGCUGAACCAGAGGAGUGGGGAGCUGUGCAUCCUGGAGACCUGUGGUUCGUGAGGAGGGGCUGCUGUGACGCACCAUGGGCUAGACUCCCAGCCCCAGCUCUGCCUGCCCGGAAGAAGCCACCCAACCCCCACUUGCCUUUCUGGAUUUGGCCAAAUGUGACCCACCUGUCCCCAAGGAGGGCGGCCUGGUUUCACCAAAGCCCAGCCCCCAUGGCCACAGCUGGAGGGGUUUGGGGGCAGUGACGUGGUGGUGGCCUUUCUUGACGAUCACUUUUGCUGGGGUGGGUUUUCCCAUCCAAUGCAGCCUGGAGACUGCUGGUCCAGUGUAAAAACUGCUUCACAACUGGGUUCCUCUGGAGACCAACCGCACCCACGGGACACCUCUGCCCUGAAGCACAGCUUGUUUGCUUACUUGGACUGGCUUCCAGAUCCCCGCCCCACACACACACACCCUGUGGCCACAUCACAUUUAAAUCAUAGUAAGACAGGAGACCCGACCUACGUGCCAGGUUACCUGUGAUGGAAGAAAAUCCUCUGGGCCCGAACUGAUGGAGCAGGAGCAUUAGGUUGGACAGGUCCACGUGCAGGGCCCCAGAGCAGGUGUGGGGCCUCCAUCCCUGAGAGUUAGGAGGACAGGUGUGAACCAGGUGGAGACAGCAGCAUGCAAAAGCCCAUCCCCAACCCCCACCCCUGGUCUGAAGACAAGGGAAGCUACAGGACCAGGUCCUUGCCUUCCUCCGCCGAGUCUCUAGAGCCACACUGCCCCCUGCUGCUGCUAGUGGGCAUGGCAGGAACCUCUAGACUGGGGAUGUCUCUCCUCAUUCUGGUGGAACACAGCCCCCAAGCACUUCAGCAGAUUCUGAGUGGGAGCCAGUUAUAAUCUGUUGACGCUUCUGGCACCCGACAGGACACACAGGAAGCCAAGUGAGCUCAAGGCUGGGCCUCUGCCUGGAUAGGUACCCUGCCAGGUGGGGAGGGCAGGUAUGGCUAGUGCCAGAGCAGCUGGGCAGAGGGUGCUCUGAGGUUUGGAGCGCAGGAAAAGCCCUAAGGAGCUGCAUCCAUCGGCGCACCCUUGUCCUAACCCAUGUAGCACUGAGACUGACCCCAGGUCCUCAGAGAUGCAGGAGCCUGCAGGCAGUCUGGUGGCUCCUCUCUGCUCCACCCACCAUGGAUCUAGAAUGUUCCAUUCCAUACUUUUUUUUUCCCCUGCUGGUGAAGAUUGACUCCAGGGUCUCAUGCAUGCUGGGCUAGCCUCUACUAUUGACACGGCCCCAGCCCUUGGUUACUUUAAUUUGACACAGUCUCACGAAGUUGCCCAGGCAAUCCACCUGUCUCCACCUCCUGAGUAGCUUCAUAUGCCACCACUUCAGGCCCCAUGUGCUGUAGAUAUCACUCUGUAUAAAUAAAAUACUGAUUGGCCAGUAGCCAGGCAGGAAGUAUAGGCGGGACAAGCAGAGAAGAGAAUUCUGGGAAGUGGAAGGCUGAGUGGGAGAGAGACACUGCCAGCCUCUGCCAUGACAAGCAACAUGUAAAGAUGCCGGUAAGCCACAAGCCACGUGGCAAAGUAUAGAUUAAUAGAAAUGGGUUAAUUUAAGAUGUAAGAACUAGAUAGCUAGAAGCCUGAGCC